rnacentral:rRNA from 1 species
UACGGAGGGUGCAAGCGUUAUCCGGAUUCACUGGGUUUAAAGGGUGCGUAGGCGGGUUGGUAAGUCCGUGGUGAAAUCUCCAAGCUUAACUUGGAAACUGCCGUGGAUACUAUCAAUCUUGAAUAUCGUGGAGGUAAGCGGAAUAUGUCAUGUAGCGGUGAAAUGCUUAGAUGUGACAUAGAACACCAAUUGCGUAGGCAGCUUACUACACGAUCAUUGACGCUGAGGCACGAAAGCGUGGGGAGCAAACAGG